CCGGUUGCGGCGGUUUAUGGCAGGGAGAUGCGCAGCACGAGAGCAAAGGGCGGUUACCCAACGGCCUUCGCUCUCAUGGCGUCCUCCUUGAUGUUACCUAAAAAUAAAACCAAGGGUGAUUAGAAGCUUGAAGAAAACCUCAGCAGUUGAAACCGUGAUGCAGUUCAGCAAAGAAGUAGCUCCUGUCCUGGUAAAACAGUGAAGUUCUCAUGGACGACCUCAUUGAGAUUUAAACCUCAGACACAGGGAGCUGACCUAUUCACCUUAGAAUCCUCUGGGGCACCCAUUACAGUGUCUGUACCAAGGAGGCAACAAAGAACGGCAGAACAGACUGGAGCAGAAGGACAACCCAGCAGAGCCAAGCCAAAUCACUGACCCUCAGAGGCCUGAUGUGAAUGCUUCUGGCUUCAGUCCAUUGGAUUCUGCAGUAAUCUGCCGAUCUACAGUAUUACCACAGUAAAUAACCGAUAGACCUGAAAACGAAUGCAUGCCUCGUGCCAAAAUUGCAGGAAACCUCACCAGCAGAAACAAUUUUAUAUGAGGGAAUGUACUCUCUCCUUUGCAUUUUUCCUCAAAUCUAUAUUUUUAGCCCCUCACUUGUCUCUACAGAGCCUCAGUUGCUUAAUCUAAUUGCUGACUGAACAUCUCCAGGAAACUGUGUGUACGUGUUUGUAUUCAUAGUAUAUUUAUUUAUUAUCUGUUUACUUCCAUGGGAUAUAGUCUCCGUAAGAGAGUAGUCAUCAUUGUAUUUGUUGAUGCUUAAUAAAUAAUCAUUGAAUGGGC
rnacentral:lncRNA from 1 species